AAAACAGACCCGAUUUUCACUCGUAACGUUUCUCUGUUUUGAAUUAAAGCUGAAUAAAGUUUUCAAGUUAAACUUCAUCUCUCGUAUUUCAACUUAUCUAUUCCUGUUUGUCUCUAAAAUUUUCUUCUUUAUCUGGUCAUGCUUGAUCUUCAAGUUUGAAGAAAUCAAUCUUUGCUUCAUAUGGAUUUGGCAAAGUAUUCGGAUGAUUUACAGAUUUGAGUUUUUACAAGUGAGCUUUUGGUUUGGUACAGUUUAAGAAAAGACAGAGUUUGUUCUAUAGACAAGCGUUAUGUCAAUGGCUGUGUCCUAAAUCAGAUAAAGCUUCUUGAAGAUGUUCACAUCCAGUGAAGACAGUAAGAGAGUCUCAGAGGCAACAGCGAUUGAGAGAUUGAAGCAUACAAAUGGAAUCAAAGUUGGGUUCGAUCUUUGUGUUCCGGAGGAAUCGACUCGUCAGGAGUUCAAGUUGGUGACUUUUCCGGAGAAGACGCAAGAAGACGCAAUCCUUUCCCUUGAGCGACACGUGGAGCCAGUUAAGAGAUGAUGGAGGCACGUGGAUGGACAACUGCCUUACUCUUGUUCAUCCUUAUCAUAUAAACUAGGAAUUAAUCUUAAUGUUUUUCAAAUGUUAAUUAUCUUAACUAUUCUUAAUGUUUUAUAUCAAAUGAUAAUAAUAAAAUAUAUUUAAUAUAAUAUUUAAUUAUUAUUUAUUUUAUUUAACAUUUUCAAAU
rnacentral:lncRNA from 1 species